UCAAUUAGCAAUCGUAUCUUACGGUAAAGAAAAACCUGCUGUACUGGGUCAUGACGAAGCCGCUUAUGCGAAAAACCGUCGUGCAGUACUGGUUUACUAAGAGAACGGCAUGAACAACAGUAACUUCAGACCUUUAUUGAUG
rfam:Proteus mirabilis strain HI4320, complete genome